rnacentral:rRNA from 1 species
CUUGAUCAAUUAUAAGAGGUCAAGCCUGCCCAGUGACAUUGUUCAACGGCCGCGGUAUCCUAACCGUGCGAAGGUAGCGUAAUCACUUGUCCUUUAAAUAAGGACUAGUAUGAACGGCUUCACGAAGGCUAUACUGUCUCCUUAAUCUAAUCAAUUAAACUAAUCUCCCCGUGAAGAAGCGGGGAUUCGUCUAUAAGACGAGAAGACCCUAUGGAGCUUUAAACAUCUAAGACACUUGAUUAUAUCUACUAAACUUCAUGCAACCUAUCAUUUUGUCUUAAGUUUUAGGUUGGGGUGACCACGGAGAAAAAUUAAACCUCCACGUAGAAAGAAAAUUCUUUUCUAAGCAAAAAGACACAUCUUAACGCAUCAAUAUAUUGACUUAAAUUGACCCA